rnacentral:rRNA from 1 species
AACGAACGCUGGCGGCAGGCCUAACACAUGCAAGUCGAACGCCGUAGCAAUACGGAGUGGCAGACGGGUGAGUAACACGUGGGAACGUACCCUUCGGUUCGGGAGUAACUCAGGGAAACUUGAGCUAAUACCGGAUACGUCCGAGAGGAGAAAGAUUUAUUGCCGAGGGAUCGGCCCGCGUCUGAUUAGCUUGUUGGUGAGGUAACGGCUCACCAAGGCGACGAUCAGUAGCUGGUCNGAGAGGAUGAUCAGCCA